GAGAGCGCAUGGGGACUGGUGUCCUCCGCAGCCUUCAAAGCUGUCUGCGGGGUGGGUUGCCCCCGUCCCGGGUGGGUUCGAUUCCCACGCGCUCUCGCCA
rnacentral:tRNA from 3 species